ACUCCUGAUUGUACCGCAUGUGUCUUGCGGGUCUCUGUGGACCGUGCGUCUGCGGGCGUACGCGCCCUCACCCAUCUCCGCUCCAUUUGCCCGGAUCACCCCCUUUGACCGUCACGCCUGACACACAAGCACGUGGCAAGCAGCUGCGCACCCUUCCUCCCUCUUUCUUACUUCUAACACCACAGCCACGACUAAGAUCGCUUCCAUGAUGGUGCUACAACGUGCCGCGACAACAGCCAAGAGAGGGGGAGGAGAGAGCUCUAAACGGGGAACGAAUACACAAAAAGAAGUGUCUUUUACGCUUCCUCCUAUUCAAGCUGUCCUUUCUGUGUGUGUGUGUGUGUGUCUGUGUGGGUAGAUAUUUAUGCGUGCUCAUAUAUAUAUAUAUUACUUUUUGUUCUACUUGGUUAGUUUCUACUUGUGAUGUCUCCCCCCCCCUUCCUCCUCUCUCCUCAUGUUAAACCAGCAACACGUGCUUGCCGCCUCUCUUAUAUAUCAAUGUCUCUCCAUGUCUCGUCACGGUGUACCCGCGCGACCGUGAAGAAAAAGAGGAAGUGGUUAACCAGUUGAAUGGAAGGAACAAAACCAAAACAGGGAAGAGAGCGGCGCACUCUUCAUCUGCCUUCGUCUCCUUUGUUUUGCCAUGCUUUUUUUUUUUGGCCAUCUCUUUGCGUGUGGGGGUGGGUGGGUGUGAGUUGCUCUCCACCUUUGUUGUUGUUUGAUGUCGUCUUAAGUUGUCUCUCAUUUGUUUUAUAUGUUUCUGAUGUGACUCCGUCCUCCCUCCCGGCACCUUGCCCGCGCCUUUCAUCUCUUGUGUGUACGUGCAUGUACGGAGUGUCUCUACGCCUCUUCCUUGUCAGAUGUGUCUGUUCGUCGACCUACACACAGGCACAGACACACAGAAAAUGCAAAGGAAGCGAGUGUGAAGGAAAGGCAGAGAGCAGGGGGGAAUGGAGAGAGUGAGAGACGAUGUUUAACGUUGCUAACUGC
rnacentral:misc_RNA from 1 species